CCCAGUGAUUCAAUUCCCUCCUACCAGGUUCCUCCCACAACAUGUGAAAAUUUGAGAUGAGAUUUGGGUGGGGACACAGCCAAACCCUAUCAUAUGGUCUUCUGUGUUGCUGACCUUGAAGUAUCUUGAGAGUUUCCUCUGCUAACAGAGUCAAAGUUGCUCCUGGCCAGAAUUUUAUUUCUGCAUUUUAAUGGUCAAACAUAAAAAACUUCCCCUCUGAUGGCUUCUUGAGCCUAGUGCAUGGGUGACUUGAAGUAUGUUAGCACCAAACAGGUAUUUUUUCUUUGAUCUUUUCUGUUUUCUCUUUUGUUUUUUAGUUGUAAGUGCCAGAAGCUGACUCUGUGAGCUUACAGGAAAAGGAGAAUUUCAUGGAAGCACAUUGAAAGCAUGGGUUCUUUUCCUUUUGGGUUCCCACUUCAUGGGGUCUCCUUGCAGCUUUUGGAGGUGGAGCAAUUAACAUCUCCCAGUACGUGAAGUGUACCAGAAACUGUGGUUGUUUUCAAAUGAGAGUUCAAUCACUUCUACUUCCUGAGGAUUUUAUAGAUGAAAUUGGAGAUAGCACCAUUGAUACAUUAGGAUACAUCAUUUGCAUUUUACCAGUUAUUAUUAGUUUUAAUAUGAUGGCAUAUUUAGAACUAGAAUUAUCCAUGUAGAAAUGGAGUUAUUCCAUAAAAAAAUAAAAUGGGAAUACGUUUAUUUGAAUGGCUAGUUGCUCAAUUACUGUUAUAGUUUUUACCAUGGGCAGUCACAAACUGAUGUAAUUUAUUUUAUGGUCCUGGAAACUUCUUAUCUAAGGUCUGAUCUUAUUUUAUGUUGUAGGUAUUCCAUUACUUGAUCAGCAAUGUUUAGAAUUGUAUAUACUUGUUUUUGUAGACCAAUUCAUUAGUUGUAAUUUCAGUUAAAAAACAUUUAGAGAUAUAGAAACACACUUACUGUUGAGAUUGUAGUAAAAUUAUUUUAUUAUUAUGCAUUUGAAACUCUUUGGCCCCUAGCCCCCUUUCCUCUGGAAAUAAUUGUUUUUAUAAUACCAAUUUGAUAAUAUGAAUGUUCUUAGGAAUGUAAUUAUAACAAGAUAGUAGGAGAGACUAUAUUGUUUUUAAUUAAACAAGAACAGAUGAAAAUAAGAAUAGAUCGUAACCAAAUGAAAAAAUGUACUAGAUGAAAGUUCUGUUCUGCAGAAAUAGAAAUCAAAGAUAUAGAGGAAAAAUUUCAUAACUAGUCUAAACAUCCAAGGAAAUGAAUAGAGUUAAAUGGAUAAAAGGUAAUUAGAUGACCAAUUAUGGAGCUCUAAUUUAGAAUGUGGGCUACUUAAUGGCAAUAUACAUCUUGUUGUUACCCAACCCCAAAGAGAUAGCUUAACAUAUAGUAUUUACUAUUAUUAUUAAAUAAACAUUCUUUUCUUGAAUUUAUAGAUAAAAUAAUGAGUGUUUUAAAAAUAGAGCAGAUGGAUCAGAAGUAAAAACUUUAGUUAUAAUAAAAGAAAACUUUCCAUAUGUAACAACAACUACACUGGGUUUCUUUUGAGCAAAAUUAAGGAAUACAAGACUUAAAUAAAUAAAUUUUUAAAUUUCUGGGACAAAGAAAAUGUCUUAAAGCACAUGUGAAGGAAAAACAUAUAUGCUUUUGUAGAUUGCCUUCAUCUUUCUUAUAUAGAACAAGAACUUUUUAAAGAACACAGGUAAAUGUCCACAUAAUUUUAAGAGAAACAACUUUGAAGUAUACUAGAAAGUCUGGUUGUUUCCUUAUGAGAGUUCAAUUACUUCUACUUGCUGCCAUUUUACAAAUGGAAUUGGAGAUAACACCACUGAUGCACUAAGCUACAUCAUUUUCAUUGUACCAGCUAGUAUUAGUUUUAACACGAUGGUAUAUUUGGAACUACAGCUAUUUAUGUAGAAAUGGAGUUGUUCCAUAAAACGUUUUAUGCCUACCCAAUUAUCAACUUAUGCAUAAAAGUAACAGAAUAACAAAAUCUUCCAGGUAUCAGAGAAUAUAACAACCAAAAGUCUUUUCUGCAAAAAUUGCAGAGAAAUAUUGUCCAGAUCACUGAGAGGUGAGAUGGUAUAAAAACUCAAGAAUAAGAAAUUCCAGUAAAAAAGAUUAAUACUAAGCAUUGAAGGAAAAGACAAAAUAAGUGAAAUAUAGUGAAAUCAAAGUGAAUUGGGAAUUGAUGCUGAUAGCUAGAUAUUUUUUACUAAGGGAGCAAUGUUUUCAGUGAAAUAAUCCUGGAGGGUUUUACAUUUUUAAAUAAAGCAUCUAUACCUAGUGAUCACAAUGUGGAAAGAGGAGAGGAAGGAAAUAAAAGCAUUAGAAGAAGCAGCAUUGUUGCUUUAUUUUCAAGUCAUUAAAUAUGAAUGCAUGUAAGUAUAGUUGUAGAAAAUUUAGUGUCGGCACUAGUUGAAUUGAAAGCAGGAUAUCUAUUUUCUAAAUAAUUAUCAAAGAUAAAAAGACAAACAUAGUCCAUUCAAAAGACAAAAUGGAAAGACAACAAUAACGAACGAUUUAAGAGAAGAAAGUUUAAGUUCAAUCAAGCUUAAAAAUUAUGACAAGUAUAAAUGGCUUAAAUUUUCUUAUUCAAAUGGAAAGAUCCUUAGAUUAAAUUAAAAUGAAAGUCUAAUGAUUUGAUGGUGCUUAAAAAAGUCAUACUUAAAGAAAAAGGACACAGAAAUAUUUUUUAAUGGCAAAGUUUUUUCCAGCCUAACAUGUUCACGUCCAAAUCAAAAAUACAAUGUGAAUAUCAAACAGGACAGAAUUUUUGGCAAAAAAACUCCAAAACAGUAAACAUGACAAAAGGGACUAUUUUAUACUUGUUACUAAUGUCAUUCUACUGAAGGAAUAAUAGUGCUGAAAGAUUAUGCAUUAAAUAACUUCAAAUAAAAAAUAAUUUGUACAUUCUGUUUUAAAAAUACAGUAUUAUUUACCACAACAAAAUAAUAUAUAUCCAAGCAGUACAAAAGUUUGCAAAUUUAGGAGCUACACAACUGAAGUACUUUAUGUCAGUAGGUUAAAUAAGAAAUAAAUUAUUAAUAGGUUUUUUGAAAGCAGAAGAGAAAAUUUACUAUCUGUUCCUGAUAAAAUGGUGAAAAUAGAAAAAAUAAAAUAUUUUUCAACAUAAUAAAUAUUGUAUCCUAAUUAUUUAUAUCAAAAUUAGUUCAGAAUACUAAAAAUGUACAUAUUUAUAACAAGAUGGGAUGGAAGUUGCGAUAAUGAUUUUACCUUAAUAAUAUUAUUUACUAGUAUUUAUAAAACUCUGAUCAAUGUAAUAAAACAUACCAAAGAAAGAAAAGCUACAUAGAAUGAAAAAAGAGAUACAACAUUAUGUAUUGAAAAAAUAUUUUUAAAGUGUAAAACUCCAAAGUAGUCAAUGAAAACCUAAAUAAACAAUAAUUAGUAAAAUAUUAAAACAUACAAACAUUAACAUAAGUCAACAGUGUAAAUGUCAGCAAUCAUUAACUUACACAUAAACUUUUAAAAGAGAUAAAAAACAUUCAUAGACUGGUUUCAAGUGUGAAGGAUAACAUUUUUAUAUUGUUAAUUAUUUCCCAAGUUUAAUGGAAAUAUAAUAACAAUCUCCCUUUCAUUUUUUACUUUUUGAGGUAGUGGUGAGAGGAAUUUGAUUUAUUAUAACUCUAGAAGAAAAAGUAGUCAAGAAUAGCGAAGUACAAUUUUUGAGAAAGAAGAAUAAUGAGUGACUAUUCUUAUCAAAUAUUAAAAUAUAAAGUUAUAAUAAUUAAAACCAUACUGGCACCAAAAUAAAUAUAUUAAUGAGGCAAAACAUGUGGGCAAACAAAUUAUAUAUAAAAAUGAAAUAUUUGGUAAUGGCCGGACCACAAAUUAAAGGAGAGGGAAAAUGUUUUGUAAUAUAUGGACUAACAGUUUGGAAAAAAAUCAGCUUUUACACUCAUUAUAUGCAUAAAAUGCAUUACCCAAACUCAAACCUUAGGAAGUCUAAUGAGACUUUAUUUUAUAGGCUUAAAACAUUGUAACAAAAUUGCUAAGUGAACAGUAAAAUAGACUUGAUUGUAUUAAACACUGGAUUAUGUUAAAACAACAGUGUAACAAGCAAACAGUCUCCUAGGUGCAAUUGCAAUUAUUUGAACAUAAUAACAAAGGGUUGAUAUGAUUAUUUCACAAGAGCUCAUACAAACUCAUACCUAAUAUAUGAGAUAAGAAUGAAAUCACAUUUCAUAAAAUAUGAAAUAUAACCCAUUUGCAAGCACAUAAAAAUCCAGCCUUAAUAAUAAUCAAAUGAAUAUACAAUAGAAUGAAAAAAUGUGUUAUAUUUAGGCUUAAUCAUUUAAAAAUUGAUGUCAAGGACUUACACUUUCAGCUGUUACAUUUAGAUCAGCUCAUCCUAUAAGGACAAGUAGAACAAUAGAAAAGUUGAAUAAAAUCUACCAAACAUUUGUUUAAAAGCACUGGAGAGCUCCACAGUGGAGAGGGCUUGAGAGCAAAGAAUUUAAGAGAGAUCCUAACUGCCUGUCAGAAAUUAAAGUAAAACAUCACUUAAAGAAGAGAUGAUCUUCCAGAGGUCCAAAUUAUCUCUACAAUUUUUCAUACACAAUGUCUGGCAUUCAAUAAAAUUACCAGGCAUACCAGAAGACAAGAAAAAAUGACUGAAAACAGAGCUAGAGGAGAUCCAGAUACAGGAGUAAUAAAUUUUAAAAUAUCUAUGAUAUCUUUUAAAAAUUGUAUAAGGAGAUAGAAAAUUUCAGCAGAUUACUAUUAACUGUGAUAAAGAAUCAAGUGGAAAUUCCAGAACUGAAAAAUUAACUGAAAUUAAAAACUCAAUAGGUGGGUAUAUGAGCAGGUUAGAAAUUGUUGAGGAACAUACUUAUGAGCAGUAGAAAGUUUGAUGUUAAUACCUAACAAAGUCAGAAAAGGUGUAUUGGAAAAUGAUUUCUGUCAUGUAACUGGUGGCAUGUAAACCUAUAUACCACUUUUUGGAAAUACUUUGACAAUGUGAAUUUAUUAUUUGAACAAAAAUUAUUUAUGUCUUUUAACUCAGUAAUCUUAUCUCUGGGAAUGUGCCAUAGGAUGUAAGUUUUUAAAUGCACAUGCCUCAUGUAUGAAAAUAAGUUUUUAAAUGCACAUGCCUCAUGUAUGAAGAUACUCACUACAGACUUACUUAUGAUAGUAAUAACUAUCUACAGACAAUGUUUAAUACUUUAUUUCAAUUAAUGCAGGUUAAUCCUCACAACAAUCUUUGGUGCUAGUUAACAUUACUAUCCUCAUUUUACAGAUAAGAAAACUGAAACAUUGAGAAGUCAAGUAACUUGCUCAAGAUUAUAUAGCUAGUGCAUAGAGAGGCAAGGAUUUGAACCGGGCUGCGUGGCUCCACAUGCACUUUAACCUGCUUUAUUUAGGCUUUUGGAAGCAACCUAAAUAACUAACAUUUGCUAAAUAAGUGCAGUAUACAUGGUCUGAGUGAUAUUUUGCAGGUAUUAAAAAAUGAAAAUUCUGAACCCUUUUAGCAACAUGGCAAAUACUUCUGAUAUGAUGUAUGCAUAUAAAUAUGAUCAAAAGGAAAUAUCCCAAAAGGUUAAUGACAGUAUGUGAGGUUAGUAGCACAAUAGUUUCUUUUCUCAUUUUCUCACAUUUUUAGUAAUGUGUGUUGGUUGCCUAUAUUAAAAAACAACUACGAAAAAGUAGUAGCGUGUUGGAUCAGAACAUGGGCUCAGACUGCCUGUGUCAUCUCUUAUUAGAUGUGUGACCAGGGACAAGUUAUUGACCUUUUGUUUCUGAGUUUCUAAGUUAUCCUGCAAAAUGAAGAUAAUUGUAGUAACUACCUAAUAACGUGAUUGUAAGGAUUAAAUUAUUUAGAACACUAUUUGUUACUUGGAAAAUAUUCAAGCAUAAGCUAUUUUGUUGUUAUUGUUAUUUUACUACCAAAGCUUAUUGUUUCAGAGUCCCUCGGUGACCAGGCAAAAAACAGUUCCCUCCAGCUGGUCCUCAGAUGGGCACAUCUAUUAGCCUCUGCUCUUGUAAGAAGUUAGCUGCAGAACCCACAUGUGAAUCCUUGUAGGACUGUGGAGAAGAUCAAAUGGGAGCUUGGAUGUGGAAGCUCUUUGGCAACCAAGAAGCACUCUGCAAAUGAAAAGGGUCAGGAAAGCCUGAACUUUCUCAUCCAACACCUGUUCAAGUCGGAGGAUGCUGAUUAAUUCAUGAUGGAAAGGUAUCAAUUUUCACAGACUAGACCUCUACAUUCUUGAAAUGCUCUUCUCAUGGGAAACAUUAAAUAAGCUUUGAAUUAACUGAAGAACCAAUGGUGUGAUCCCUGGAUACUGACAAUUGUUGCCCAAGAAACCCCCUCCCCUUGCCAUGGGACUGCUGGGCACCCAAAUAAUGCACCCUAAUAAUUUGAUAGCUCUUGUUACACGGCUCUUCUUGGACUAAAAGGCCCUCAGCAUUCCUGGCAAUUUCUACACUCCUGGAGCUUCAUCUGGUAAUUCCCUGACUUAUGCAGCACCACCCCACUCCUAGAGUAUCUUUAGAGGUGUUUGCUUUCUUCUUAAAGCUAUUAUCCUCUUGUUCUUGGAGGGCUUAUUCUUGGGGGACUUGGAGGGCUUAUUAAGCCCUAAGACUCAAUCAUUAGCAACCAAAAAAUUAACUUCUACUCUCCCAAGGUCAGGGACAACAUAAUCUUAAAAUACGGUGGUUAGGGAAAAUAUUUGCAUAAUGUAUUUUUAGGAAUGUACAGGAAGGGAAGGCAAAUAUAGAGGAGGAAGAUGAUUUAAGAGAGUAGAGCAGAAAAUAUAAAGCUGCCACAAAAAUUUGGAAUUGCAGAAUCAGCUAAAGGUAGGUGUUUGUUCUGCUUACUAACAAAGCAUACACCAAAUACAAUUAUUUGGAAGCCUAUAAUUUUUUAGGGUAAACUUUUUUAGGUGUUCUUCUAGUCUUACCCCAUUAUUUUAGAGGUGUAAAAACUGAAUCCCAAAGAGGAGAAGUGACUUGGUUAAGCUCACACAGAAACUAGAAUCCUAUAUCUUUUGUAUUGUAUCAGAUGCUUUUAUGAUUACCGUAUGCUGCCUUUUUAAGGCCUGUGAUCUCCAGAGAGAGGUUUCAGCUUUUUGAUAUGCCAAACUAAGGAAUUCUUAGUUGGCCUUUUUUUUCUUCUUGAGUUUGUGCUUGCUUAACCUAAUGAGUAGGUAAUAACCCUAUGUUUCUAAAUUUCUUAAAUCAGACUUUUUGGGGUAUGAAAUUUUGUUAAUGAUUCUGUUAAGAAAAAAUGUCUUUUACACUUUUUCAUCUGAAAGGCAAGGGGAUGUGGGAUGGAGGUUAGAAAUACACAGCUGCCAUAGUCUAAUUCUUGUAUAGAUAUUAUUGAGUGAUUAAUGAUUGAGAAAAUUGCCUACUGCUUCUCUUUACUUUUCUGUAUUAGCAGAUGACCUUUUCUUUUUGAUCCAUAAUGAGAAUAUGAGAGAAAAUGAAAGGAAAGUGCAACAUCACAAUAGGCUAAGAAUCUACAUAAUUAAAUGCCCAAACACUUUAUCAUUCAAGAUCCUUCAUGAUCUUGCCAAUCUCUUUUCCCAAUGAUGUCCCAUAUUAUCUCCCUUUGCAUAUAGUUUAAUCCAUACACCAAAUAACUUGCUGUUCUUUAAAUGCUUUGUUUUUCUACCUCCACAUCUAUUUUCAUACUGCUUUCUCUACCUGACAUUCUCUGUCCCCAAACUGUUGCUAUUUAAAUUUGACUUAGCUUGGGUUACCUGAGAUGUAGACACUGAGACAAACUUUUAAGGUUGAGUAAUUUAUUAGAGAGUAAAGGUAGGAGAAUGAUUAAGUGAAAGAAUGAAAGAAAGGUUAUUUUGGAAGAGCAUGUUAUCAAGACAGCUUUCAGUUCCAGGAAGCAACUGAAGCAUAGUCCCACAGGGAAAGCUCUUGAAGCCCAGACAAGCUAUUCUGCCUUAAAAUUACAUUACCCAAGGGGUAAGGGAACUAAGUAUUUAUACACCAACACUCCUCAGAUAUUGCUUGAGAGUUGCUUCUAGAGACAUUAAUUCCAGAAGCUUCCAACCUGUUGAACACCUAGGUGGUAGAGUGAGUUUCACCAGUGACAGGACACCCUUAACAAAGAACUACUGGUGCUAGGAGUUGGAAGUUGGGCCAAAGGCAAACAGAUGCUAACAGGGAGGUAAUAUGAGAGGCACUGACAGCAUCUGCUACAAAACUGUCCCCCAAAGAAAAGAUGGGAUACAGCUGGCUAUGCUGCAGUUAAAAAGCAACCAAGUAUUAAUGGCUUAAUACCACGAAAGUUUAUUUUUCACUUCUUGUUAUCAGGAGACCCCUGUCGAUUCUAUAAUUCAAAGAACCAGGCUGAUGGCUGGUGGAAUAGCUACCAUCUCAAACAUAGUGUGAUGCUGCAUCAGAGGGAAAAAUAAGCACUUGCGUUGGCAAUGAAAUGUCUACCCUGUAGUGACUUGUGCUACUUCCACUCACAAAUGAUUGCCCAGAGCUACUUAUCUGGCUCCAAUCUACCACUGGGUGUGUACGUGCAAUCUACUAUGUACCUAGAAGAUGAGAGAAACAAAUGAUUAAUGAUGACCACAUCCCAAGACUAACAAUAAUUGCAGAUUAAUCAAUGACUUAAACAAAAAUGUGGCCAUUGAAGGAAUAGAAAAUAUAGUGAGUUUAGUGUAAAUUUAAAAGUAAUUUAUAAGUAACAUACCAAAUCCAGAAACUAUAAGAAAAGAGAUUGACAAACAUAAAUACAUAAAGCUUUAAAAAAAUUUAAUGUAACAAAAAUGGCAUAAAAAGUCAAAAGUUUUUUAAAAAUAUGUUAAUGCAGUAGAUUAGGUGCUACUUUUCUUAAUGUACUAAUAACUUAAUAAGAUAAAUUUUGUAUCUAGAAGAAAAUGAACAUGGAAAUAGGCAAUUCACAGAUAAUGGCAUUCGUCUGGCCAAUAAAAAAUGUGUGACAUUCAGAAUAAAAUAAAAAUGAAAUACUGUUUUUCAGCCAUCACUUGAGCAAAACUACAAAGAUACAGUGAGACUCAGGCAUUCCCAUAUACUGUGGAUGAGAGGGCAAAGACCUUUAACCUCUAAUUUUAUUUCUAUUUUUAAACAUGUGUGUUAAAAUUUUAAAUACUGAUGUCCUCUUGACCCAGUAAUUUUAUGUCUAAGAUUUGAAUCUGGAGAUAAACUUGAAUAAAUGCAUCCAGAUUUGUGUAUAAGUGUUAAUAUAGUUUAGAUGUGUGUUCCCACCCAAAUCUCAUAUUGAAAUGUAAUCCCAAGUGUUGGAGGUGGGUCCUGGUAUGAGGUGAUUGGAUCAUGGGGGUGAAUUUCUCAGGAAUGGUUUAGCAUCAUCCCCCAUGGCCCUGUCCUUGCAUAGUGAGGUGAGUUCUGAGAUCUGGUCAUUUAAAGUGUGCAGCACCUCCCUGCCUCACUCUCUCUUGCUCCUGCUUUUGCUAUGUGAGGUGUGAGAUACUGCUGUGCCUUCCACCAUGAUUUGAAGCUCCCUGAGGCCUCCCCAGAAGGAGAUGCUACCACGCUUCCUGUACAGCCUGUAGAACUCAUGCUUUGAAGAAGGUGCUUCAUUACUUCAACUCCAGAGAGGGAAGAUGAGACCCAAGCCUGGUGAUAAAGACCUCAAGUAUGAGUUUCAUCUGAUCUUUGAAUUCUUCAGAUCACCUGCUCAUAUUAGGUCAGAUGUUUGCUGAAUUCAGUUCUGAGCUUUUGAACCAAAAGCAGAUCUUCAGAACAAGAAAGAAGAUAAUAAAAGAGAAACACGAAGAAACUGAAGAUGAUUGGAGGAAUACAAAUCAAGAUGAUUAGACCUAGCAGAGGGCUGGCUGGAUGGCAUUUAUGUUGACGAUGGACUCCUACACAGAGAAUGAUCAUGGUCUAGGACGUAAUAGUGAUGCAAUCAUCAUGUCUUAAAUGAUUUUUU